rnacentral:lncRNA from 1 species
AUUCAAAUCUCAAAAGGGCCAGACUGGGAGCCCAGUGGAAGAACAGGAGAGAGGAAUUGAAGAAUUUCCUUCGUGCGUGUAUUACGUCCUGCUAAAUGGAAUGCCGAGGAGCUUCGAUGGAAGCAUCUCUUCAGGAUUGAUUCACUGCCUCUGGAAAUGGGCCUGAGUUUCCCGCGCAGGUGUGGCACGUUGGAGGAGGAACAGCAAGGAGAGAAAGGCUGUGACAUUUCGUCUUCUCUCAGUUCAUCUCAUCUACUCCAGCUUUGGCCCCGAGCCUACGCACACCUAGUGUUUCUGUUCAUUGCCGCUCAGCUAAGGAGUCAUUGCAACGGGGAAAAUAAAUUAGAACUAAAUGAGACUGCGAUUCAGAGUCCUGGAAGCAUGACUGCCGAUGAGCAUUACUGGUUGUUUUAUGUCUCCGCUGCCUUGGGGGGGGGGGGCGGGGUGCUCCCACAUCAGUGACUGGCAAUCUGGCUAAUCGGCACACGGAAGUCUGGAGAGGGGUCCCACUCGCUGCGAGAGUAUCUGUCUUCAAGUUGUGUCCACCUCUAAGAAAAAAAUCACGUACCUACGGCAUAUUCCAAAUCGUUAAAAAGCUCUUACUUCACUCUUUUCCCUUGCCUGCCCUGGAGAAGUCCAAAUUAGAAAACUUCCUAUUUAAGACAAUCAACAGAGGAGAACAACAGAUCAACUUGAGCUAAUAUCAGUAGCAGGAAGACCAAUUAACAAAUUCAUGAAUUGUGCUGCUUACCCGUAUAUUCCUAAGGUUAAUUAUGUGCUCAAGUAAUAGCUUUUGCCUUGAUUAUGAGACCCUUAGGAAAUAAAAGUGUGUUUCCACUUUACA